CGUAGUGCAGAGGUUAGCAUAUCCGCCUAUGACGCUGAACACCUGGGUUCGAAUCCUGGCG
rfam:Stomoxys calcitrans breed 8C7A2A5H3J4 unplaced genomic scaffold Scaffold361, whole genome shotgun sequence.